rnacentral:rRNA from 1 species
UACGUAGAGUGCAAGCGUUAAUCGGAAUUACUGGGCGUAAAGCGUGCGCAGGCGGUUUUGUAAGUCUGUCGUGAAAUCCCCGGGCUUAACCUGGGAAUGGCGAUGGAGACUGCAAGGCUAGAGUUUGGCAGAGGGGGGUAGAAUUCCACGUGUAGCAGUGAAAUGCGUAGAGAUGUGGAGGAACACCGAUGGCGAAGGCAGCCCCCUGGGUCAAAACUGACGCUCAUGCACGAAAGCGUGGGGAGCAAACAGG